CUCAAUGCAUACGCGGAAGAGAUCAUUGCUGGACGCGCCCCGGCGCACCCAGAAACCCUUUGUGAACUUAUACCCACUGUUGCCUCGGCGCAGGCCGGUCUGUCUCAGACCCCCUGGAGACAGGGAGCAGCCCGCCGGCGGCCAACCAAACUCUGUUUCUAUAGUGAAUCUCUGAGUAAAAAACAUAAAUGAAUCAAAACUUUCAACAACGGAUCUCUUGGUUCUGGCAUCGAUGAAGAACGCAGCGAAAUGCGAUAAGUAAUGUGAAUUGCAGAAUUCAGUGAAUCAUCGAAUCUUUGAACGCACAUUGCGCCCUCUGGUAUUCCGGAGGGCAUGCCUGUUCGAGCGUCAUUUCAACCCUCAAGCCUGGCUUGGUGAUGGGGCAGUGCCUUGGAGACAAGGCACGCCCUGAAAUUCAGUGGCGAGCUCGCCAGGACCCCGAGCGUAGUAGUUACAUCUCGCUCUGGAAGGCCCUGGCGGUGCCCUGCCGUUAAGCCCCCAACUUGUGAAAAUUUGACCUCGGAUCAGGUAGGAAUACCCGCUGAACUUAAUCAUAUCAAUAUGCGGAGACA
rnacentral:rRNA from 1 species